ACUGCAAGUCGAGCGGUACACAGGGAGCUUGCUCCUGGGUGACGAGCGGCGGACGGGUGAGUAAUGUCUGGGAAACUGCCUGAUGGAGGGGGAUAACUACUGGAAACGGUAGCUAAUACCGCAUAACGUCGCAAGACCAAAGAGGGGGACCUUCGGGCCUCUUGCCAUCAGAUGUGCCCAGAUGGGAUUAGCUAGUAGGUGGGGUAACGGCUCACCUAGGCGACGAUCCCUAGCUGGUCUGAGAGGAUGACCAGCCACACUGGAACUGAGACACGGUCCAGACUCCUACGGGAGGCAGCAGUGGGGAAUAUUGCACAAUGGGCGCAAGCCUGAUGCAGCCAUGCCGCGUGUAUGAAGAAGGCCUUCGGGUUGUAAAGUACUUUCAGCGGGGAGGAAGGCGAUAAGGUUAAUAACCUUGUCGAUUGACGUUACCCGCAGAAGAAGCACCGGCUAACUCCGUGCCAGCAGCCGCGGUAAUACGGAGGGUGCAAGCGUUAAUCGGAAUUACUGGGCGUAAAGCGCACGCAGGCGGUCUGUCAAGUCGGAUGUGAAAUCCCCGGGCUCAACCUGGGAACUGCAUUCGAAACUGGCAGGCUAGAGUCUUGUAGAGGGGGGUAGAAUUCCAGGUGUAGCGGUGAAAUGCGUAGAGAUCUGGAGGAAUACCGGUGGCGAAGGCGGCCCCCUGGACAAAGACUGACGCUCAGUGCGAAAGCGUGGGGAGCAAACAGGAUUAAUACCCUGGUAGUCCACGCCGUAAACGAUGUCGACUUGGAGGUUGUGCCCUUGAGGCGUGGCUUCCGGAGCUAACGCGUUAAGUCGACCGCCUGGGGAGUACGGCCGCAAGGUUAAAACUCAAUGAAUUGACGGGGGCCCGCACAGCGGGGAGCAUGGUUUAAUUCGAUGCAACGCGAAAACUUACCUACUCUUGACUCCGAAUAAUGCUGGCGACUCUGAGAGGCUGCAUGGCUGUCGUCACUCUGUUGAUUGUAUC
rnacentral:rRNA from 1 species